CGUAGUCCGAGUUGUAAUUUGUAGAGGAUGCUUUUGGUGAGGUGCCUUCCGAGUUCCCUGGAACGGGACGCCAUAGAGGGUGAGAGCCCCGUACGGUUGGAUACCAAACCUCUGUAUAGCUCCUUCAACGAGUCGAGUAGUUUGGGAAUGCUGCUCUAAAUGGGAGGUAUAUCUCUUCUAAAGCUAAAUAUAGGCUAGAGACCGAUAGCGCACAAGUAGAGUGAUCGAAAGAUGAAAAGCACUUUGAAAAGAGAGUUAAACAGCACGUGAAAUUGUUGAAAGGGAAGCGCCUAUGACCAGACUUGUUUCUGGCAGUUUCGUUAGCCCUCGGGCUGAUUUACUCUGUCCAGUACAGGCCAGCAUCAGUUUGCUGUCGGGGAGAAAGGCUCUGGGAAUGUAGCUCCCCCCUUCUGGGGGGAGUGUUAUAGCCCUCUGCAUAAUACCCUUCGGCAGACUGAGGACCGCGCUUCGGCAAGGAUGCUGGCGUAAUGGUCAUCAGCGACCCGUCUUGAAACACGGACCAAGGAGUCAACCUUAUGUGCGAGUGUUUGGGUGUAAAACCCCAGCGCGUAAUGAAAGUGAACGUAGGUGAGAGCUUCGGCGCAUCAUCGACCGAUUCUGAUGUUUUCGGAUGGAUUUGAGUAAGAGCACACAGGGUUGGACCCGAAAGAAGGUGAACUAUGCUUGUAUAGGGUGAAGCCAGAGGAAACUCUGGUGGAGGCUCGCAGCGGUUCUGACGUGCAAAUCGAUCGUCAAAUAUGAGCAUGGGGGCGAAAGACUAAUCGAACCUUCUAGUAGCUGGUUCCAGCCGAAGUUUCCCUCAGGAUAGCAGUGUUGAAUUUUCUUCAGUUUUAUGAGGUAAAGCGAAUGAUUAGGGACUCGGGGGCGCUAUAUUGCCUUCAUCCAUUCUCAAACUUUAAAUAUGUAAGAAGC
rnacentral:rRNA from 1 species